rnacentral:rRNA from 1 species
GAGCGCAACCCUUGUCCUAGUUACCAGCACGUAUGGUGGGCACUCUAAGGAGACUGCCGGUGCAAACCGGAGGAAGGUGGGGAUGACGUCAAGUCAUCAUGGCCCUUACGGCCUGGGCUACACACGUGCUACAAUGGUCGGUACAAAGGGUUGCCAAGCCGCGAGGUGGAGCUAAUCCCAUAAAACCGAUCGUAGUCCGGAUCGCAGUCUGCAACUCGACUGCGUGAAGUCGGAAUCGCUAGUAAUCGUGAAUCAGAAUGUCACGGUGAAAACGUUCCCGGGCCUU